rnacentral:rRNA from 1 species
AGCGAACGCUGGCGGCAGGCCUAACACAUGCAAGUCGAACGGAUCCUUCGGGAUUAGUGGCGGACGGGUGAGUAACACGUGGGAACGUGCCCUUUGGUUCGGAACAACUCAGGGAAACUUGAGCUAAUACCGGAUGUGCCCUUCGGGGGAAAGAUUUAUCGCCAUUGGAGCGGCCCGCGUCUGAUUAGCUAGUUGGUGGGGUAAAGGCUCACCAAGGCGACGAUCAGUAGCUGGUCUGAGAGGAUGAUCAGCCACAUUGGGACUGAGACACGGCCCAAACUCCUACGGGAGGCCGCAGUGGGGAAUCUUGCGCAAUGGGCGAAAGCCUGACGCAGCCAUGCCGCGUGAAUGAUGAAGGUCUUAGGAUUGUAAAAUUCUUUCACCGGGGACGAUAAUGACGGUACCCGGAGAAGAAGCCCCGGCUAACUUCGUGCCAGCCGCCGCCGUAAUAC